GAUGAAGAACGUAGCGAAACGCGAUAUGUAAUGUGAAUUGCAGAAUUCAGUGAAUCAUCGAAUCUUUGAACGCACAUUGCGCCUGCCAGCACUCUGGCAGGCAUGCCUGUUCGAGCGUCAUUUCAACCAUCAAGCCCUAGGCUUGCGUUGGAGCCCUGCGGCUGCCGCAGGCCCCUAAAAGCAGUGGCGGGCUCGCUAUCACACCGAGUGCAGUAGAUUACUCUUCGCUCAGGGCGUGUGGCGGGUUCCAGCCGUGAAACCCCCUACUUCUCAAGGUUGACCUCGGAUCAGGUAGGAAUACCCGCUGAACUUAAGCAUAUCAAUAAGCGGAGGA
rnacentral:misc_RNA from 1 species